UAAUUGAGAAGGCUAGGGGGAGUUCCGCU
rnacentral:piRNA from 1 species